CUGGAUUAAAAAACAACAACUUUAAAACAUGAUUUGUCCUCAAUGAACAUAUAUUUGGUAUUGCACAAUGAACAUAUAUUUGGUAAUAACACAAAAAUCACAUGAGGUGAAUAAUCAUUGGUAACCAGGAAAAAUUUGUAUAAUUGUGUGCGCUGCAGCGAUGCAAAGUCCAGUUCAGAGUUAUUGCAUUGGUGGAUAAUAUGAAUAACAGAUUGAUUAAGUGAGAUCAACAUUAGCACAAAAACAGGGCAGAGCAACAUGACAAACAAGGAAAAGGGCAUAUGAGGCAAAGAAUCCCUUUUAACCAGAAAAUGUGUAUAAUUGAGUGUGCUGCAUCAAUGCAAAGUCCAGUUCACAGUUAUUGCAAUUGUUGGAUAAUGUUAAGUGGGUGGAUAAAGUGAGAGAGCAUUCACAUCACAAAACUGGGAUUAAACCACAUGGAUUACUUCUACGUUAUCAAUGCUCUGAAGCUUGAAAGUUUAGGAUGAACAGAUAGCAAUGCGUUUCCUUAGUUUUGUUGAGGUUAGCGCUUUGGGAUGUUUGAGGUCAUCACAUUCAUUCACAAACUGCCUAAUGCAAUCAGAACCCCUCAAGUAAUGGACAGAGAGCGGCAAUGCAAACAAGUAUCCGUUUUCACUCAGUACUCCACAUUCUUCUCGCUUUUCAGUCAGAGUAUCGAUCGAUUCUCUCAUGACCGGGGUAAGGAGAACAGGGACUUUCCUCCCUCUCUUUCCUACUAUGGCAAUCCGAACAAAAUGUUUGCAAAGCUUCUGCUCGAGUGCUGUAAGGGCUAAGUUAACAUCUUCGUGCGUUUCUGAUGUAUCCUUUGACAUGAACGCCGACAAGGACAUUCGGGAUACUUCUCCUGCUCUUCGUCGGUUGAAGAGGAUAACUUGCGCCAGGGUCACUUUAGCAAGGUCCUUCCAGUUCAAGGGAGAAGGCUCUUCUUGCAGGGCAUUCAAUUGCUUCUGCUGUUUCUCAGACAAAUAGCAAUGCAGUCUUUGGACAUCCUGUGUGAAUGGUAGAAUCUGAGGAGAAUUCCACUUGGUCUGGUUAAGCUGAGUUAGCGCUUGACUUGCAAUGUCAAAUUUCCAACUUUCUUGGUAUAGCAGUGCAAAUUCCUCAGCAUCUUUGGCAGUCUGUUGAUCUUUCAUCUUCAAUCCUUCAGAUUUGAUAAACAUGGCUAAAGCAUGCAAGCCAUGUCCAACUUUGCGAGCUAGAGACGGACGUUUAUAUUUGCCAGUUUCACCACUGAAUCCAGCAAGGCAUCUUGCAGCCGAGACAACAUGAGUGUACUUUUCAGGCUUUAUGAGUUCUUUGAUAGUCUUCACAUGUGUCAACUUUUUUGCUUCCAGUACCAGUCUGCCAAGCUCUCUCAGUUUUUGUCGAAUAUAUUGGUGCUGGCUGAUUACAUACUCAUUCUUUCUGAACUGUCUGUAACCAUACUCAAGAAUGCAGCGGUCUUCCUUAAUAGCAACUGCAACCUCAUCCUGAUUCAUACCACUUAAGAACUUCCAGUACGCGUCGCUAAAUCCACUUGGAGCAGGUUCAGCAAAUGCACACAAAGCUUGAACUCUUGUUUUACCUCGUUUAGAUGUCUUACCCUGAGGCUUGAAAUUACAGACCUGAAAAUGACGCCACAUCGCUCUUUUUCGGAACAUUCCAUAGCAGUAAACACAGUGCAUGAAUUCUUGUCCAUCUGUCAUUUUCUUUGGCUGCUUCCAUGGGAUAAGUUUGCCUUUGCGACUCUCCAAAACUUGAGUGUUGUGUUCAAAGUUACCCUUGUUUCUGAGAAAAUCCAACUGUCGUCGCCUUUCUUUUGAAUUCUUUGGCAAGCUUAAUGCCUUUGCGACCUCAACCACAUCGCUGUGUCUACGCGACAAGUGUCUGGACAUUUUCUGAACUACCUGUCCACAAUACAAGCAAUGAUGUUUUUUAUUAUAUCUUCUGGAACCAUCCUCCUUCUUUAAAACUGGAUUAACAAAGACCGAUGGCUCUUCUUCAGGUGGCAUUGAAACACUUGUCUCCUUGUGUCUUCCUUCUUCUAGGCUAUCAGGAAAUCUUUGUGCCGAGUCAUGACUUGUUUCAAAUCUUCUGCUCUGACUGGACUUAAAUCGGCUCUGACUUGAAGACUCACUUUUGUUCUGACUGGACUUAAAUCGGCUCUGACUUGAAGACUCACUUUUGUUCUGACUGGACUUAAAUCGGCUCUGACUUGAAGACUUGUUUCUGCACUGACUAAUGGAUGACAUUUUGACAUUCUUUUUUUUAUUUUCCAGGGAUAACUCCAAGCUGCAGUCACUGUCAUUGCUUUCCUCCCUGGGAUUUGGAAUAUAAUCAUCUUCACUAUCAUAACAGGAGUCAUCGGAUUCUACAAGACUCCUUUGAAUCUUUCAGAAAAGAAAAGUAAUAAAGGAUUAGUCCCCCAGAAAAAGACGACAAAAAAAGAAAUUUGCUCACCUUCAUCCCAGAUGUGCAUGACUAUUGUUCAGUGACCUUUCAUAACAUGACUGAAAUAAAUACACAACUCAUUUUGACCAGCAGUUAUGGACUACUGUAAAAAACGUCUUUAACAUGAAUUUAUAAAACAGUGUUUUCUUUCAAUUGUAUCGACAUGGAUUAUCAUUAGCCAGCCUAAACGACAUGCAAGUCUUGAAAAUGUUGGUUGCCAUCGGCUUCCAUUCCAUGUCUCAAUAUCUAAAAUUUUAUUUUCUUAAACUGUACUCAUGUGAGCAAUAAAAGGUCAUGCACAUCUGGAAUGGGAUUGAGUAAUUUGAGAAUUCUUACAUUUUAAUCCUUUAGUAUGAUAAACUGACCAUUGCAUAUUGGGAUGACAUACAUUCUAUAGGGGCGUUAAGUAAAAUGUAGAGUAAGUUUAAUCAAAGUAAAUGAAAUUAGAAAUGUACUGUUGAUUACGGUUAGCCCAAGAGACUAAAAACAAGAGAAUAUAGAGAACAGAAUAAAAAGGCACACCCCUAUCAAUAUUAUUUGUAGAAACAAUUGACUGGCAUCAGGUUAAUGAGUGAGAUAACUAAAGUUACUAGUACUAUAAUUUGCCAGGAACACACUGAACAAAGAGAUUAGAGCGGCUAAAAAGACCUACGCUAAAAAGUUGGAAGACCAGUUUACUUCCAAUGACUCAACUUCAGUGUGGAGAGGACUGAGAGCCAUCACAAACUAAAACACACCGUCCCCCUGCACAGAGGCUAAUCAACGACUUGCUAACGACCUGAAUGAGUUCUAUUGUAGAUUUGAAACCCCCAACACCCAUUCUGAUCAUCUCUCUACACAACUGUUCACACCUCCUGCUCUUCAAAUCAGUGAGGAUGAUGUGCGCCAGGUCUUCAGGAAGAACAAAAGAAGAAAAGCACCAGGUCCAGAUGGCGUUACACCAGCCUGUCUGAAAACCUGUGCUGACCAGCUGGCCCCCAUCUUUUCACAGAUCUUCAACAGAUCUCUGGAGUUGUGUGAAGUGCCUUCCUGCUUCAAACGCUCCACCAUCAUCCCCGUUCCAAAGAAACCCAAGAUAACAGGACUUAACGACUACAGACCUGUGGCUCUAACGUCUGUCGUCAUGAAGUCAUUUGAAAAACUGGUUCUGGCUUAUCUGAAGGACAUCACUGGACCCUUACUGGACCCCCUGCAGUUUGCUUACCGAGCAAACAGGUCCGUGGAUGAUGCAAUCAACAUGGGAUUGCACUUCAUCCUGCAACAUCUGGACAAAACAGGGACUUAUGUGAGGAUCCUGUUUGUGGACUUUAGUUCGGCUUUCAACACCAUCAUCCCAACAGCCCUUCAGACCAACCUGACCCAGCUCUCUGUUCCUAGCUCUAUCUGUCAGUGGAUCACCAGCUUUCUGACAGAUAGGCAACAGCUAGUGAGACUGGGGAAAUUCAUGUCAAACAGCUGCUCCACCAACACUGGUGCCCCUCAGGGAUGUGUUCUCUCCCCACUGCUCUUCUCGCUGUACACCAACGACUGCACCUCCAAAGACCCCUCUGUCAAGCUCCUGAAGUUUGCUGACGACACUACAGUCAUCGGUCUCAUCCAGGUUGAGCAGCUGGCUGUCUGGUGCAGUCUUAACCUGGAGCUGAACACUCUCAAAACAGGGGAGAUGAUCGUGGACUUCAGGAGAAACCCCCCUGCACUCCCCCCACUCACCAUCAUGAACAGCACUGUGGCUGCAGUGGAGUCAUUCAGAUUCAGGACCUGAAGUGGGACAAUCACAUUGACUCCAUUGUUAAAAAGGCCCAACAAAGGUUGUACUUCCUUCGCCAGCUGAGGAAGUUUAACCUGCCACAGGAGCUGCUGAAACAGUUCUACUCAGCCGUCAUUGAGUCAGUCCUGUGCACUUCAAUUACUGUCUGGUUUGUCUCAGCUACAAAAUCAGACAUCAGAAGACUACAGAGAACGGUUCGGACUGCUGAAAGAAUUAUUGGUGCUCCCCUGCCCACCCUUCAAGAACUGUACACAUCCAGAUUACCCCAUCUUUGAACUUUUGCAAUCUGGCCGGCGCUUCAGAGCCGCAAAUACCAGGACAGUCAGGCACAAGAACAGUUUCUUCCCCCAAGCCAUCUACCUCAUGAACAUUUAAAUGUUCCCCACUUGUGCAAUACAAAUGUGCAAUAUCCUUAUAUUUAUUUGUUAUCCCUGCAUCCUAGUACAUCCCGGCAUCUUACUCAAUCCUAUUCCAUUAUCAUUUAUAGCACAAUUGUUUAUACACUUAUUUGUUUGCCUUUUUUUUGUCGUCUCUGUGUACUGGAAGCUUAUGUCACUAAAACAAAUUCCUUGUAUGCGCAAGCAUACUUGGCAAUAAAGCUCUUUCUGAUUCUGAUUUGACUAUAAACUGUAUUUAAGGCUCAAGUUUCUGGAGAUGCAAAUUUGUCUCCUCUAAUCACAUCACAGGCUAUAAAAAUAUUUUAAAUAAAAUAUUAAAAUAAAAUAAAAAUAUAUUUUAUAAAUGUUUACCUUUAUCGUUACACAAAGCUGUUAGAUCGAGGUCCAAUAUG
ensembl:lncRNA